rnacentral:rRNA from 1 species
UACGUAGGGCGCAAGCGUUGUCCGGAAUUAUUGGGCGUAAAGAGCUCGUAGGCGGUUUGUCGCGUCUGCCGUGAAAGUCCGGGGCUCAACUCCGGAUCUGCGGUGGGUACGGGCAGACUAGAGUGAUGUAGGGGAGACUGGAAUUCCUGGUGUAGCGGUGAAAUGCGCAGAUAUCAGGAGGAACACCGGUGGCGAAGGCGGUUGCCUGGAGCUUGCUGACGCUGAGGCGCGAAAGCGUGGGGAGCGAUCCGG